rnacentral:rRNA from 1 species
ACCCCUACGGGACGCAGCAGUGAGGAAUAUUGGUCAAUGGGCGCAAGCCUGAACCAGCCAAGUCGCGUGAGGGAAGACGGCCCUACGGGUUGUAAACCUCUUUUGCCGGGGAGCAAGCCUGAGCACGUGUGCCCAGGCGGAGAGUACCCGGAGAAAAAGCAUCGGCUAACUCCGUGCCAGCAGCCGCGGUAAUACGGAGGAUGCGAGCGUUAUCCGGAUUUAUUGGGUUUAAAGGGGGCGCAGGCGGGCUGUUAAGCCGGCGGUAAAAAUUCAGGGGUCAACC